rnacentral:rRNA from 1 species
UGAGGAAUUUUGCGCAAUGGGAGCAACCCUGACGCAGCAACGCCGCGUGGGUGAUGAAGGCCUUCGGGUCGUAAAGCUCUGUCUUCAGGGACGAUAAUGACGGUACCUGAGGAGGAAGCCACGGCUAACUACGUGCCAGCAGCCGCGGUAAUACGUAGGUGGCGAGCGUUGUCCGGAUUUACUGGGCGUAAAGGGAGCGUAGGCGGACUUUUAAGUGAGAUGUGAAAUACCCGGGCUUAACCUGAGUGCUGCAUUUCAAACUGGAAGUCUAGAGUGCAGGAGAGGAGAAGGGAAUUCCUAGUGUAGCGGUGAAAUGCGUAGAGAUUAGGAAGAACACCAGUGGCGAAGGCGCUUCUCUGGACUGUAACUGACGCUGAGGCUCGAAAGCGUGGGGAGCAAACU